AAAAAACUCAGACAAGAUGGGUGAAAACCAGCAGCUGAAAUUUGACUAAAACAAGAAGCUGUGAAGUUUAUUUGAAAAAAUGUUUAAAGAGUUUUUCAACGUCAUUGUUAAUUUUUACAGCGUAUACCUGGUGUUCACCAUGUUUUCAU